GUGGGUAGCGGUGAAAUUCCAAUCGAGCCCGGAGAUAGCUGGUUCUCCCCGAAAUAGCUUUAGGGCUAGCCUCAAGGUGAGAGAUACGGAGGUAGAGCACUGAAUGUCCUAGGGGGUAUUGCACCUACCGAAGACUAUCAAACUCCGAAUGCCGUCAUCUUAUACUUGGGAGUCAGACUGUGGGUGAUAAGAUUCAUAGUCGAAAGGGCAACAGCCCAGAUCGUCAGCUAAGGUCCCUAAAUGUAAGUUAAGUGGUAAAGGAUGUGGGAUUGCACAGACAACCAGGAUGUUGGCUUAGAAGCAGCCACUCAUUCAAAGAGUGCGUAAUAGCUCACUGGUCGAGUGAUCCUGCGCCGAAGAUUUCCGGGGCUAAAACUUACUACCGAAGCUACGGCAUCAGUAAUGAUGGGUAGGGGAGCUUCCCAUACGGGUUGAAGCAUGACCGUAAGGACAUGUGGACAGUAUGGGAGGGAGAAUGUUGGCAUGAGUAGCGAGAUGUGGGUGAGAAGCCCACAGGCCGUAAACCCAAGGUUUCCAGGGGAAGGUUCGUCCGCCCUGGGUUAGUCGGGACCUAAGCUGAGGCCGAAAGGCGUAGGUG
rnacentral:rRNA from 1 species